AGGGGGAGGAGCAGCUAGAACCAGCAGCACAUCAGGUGGAAGAUCUGGUGAAGUCCGGACAUCCCACACUUACGUGACCCAUUCUGCAGGUCAUGCCCACCACGGGGGCCAUUUACACCACUAGAUUGCAGGAAUGGAACACAUAAGAAAACUGCCAGAGAAUGGGCAGAGAGCAUGCUACCUGCAAGAAGUAGUUCAUCCAAGCUGUUGUUGGUCCAUCUGCCCAGCGGUAUCCUUCAAAGUUGAUCAGAUGCCCUACUUCACUGUCUCCAAUCUACUUCCCCAUUAUUUUGCAGCAUGCCAUUUGCCCAGACUCUUGUUUCUCACCCAUCAUGCAUCAGUGCCGUGGUUGGCAACCUGCUGACCACCGAAAACAAAAGAAGUCCAAAAAAAUAAAUAAACCCCUUGCUUUUCUCUUGAUGCCA